UGGAAGUGCUGUGAGGCAUUGAGCUAACUCGUACUAAUUACCCGUGAGGCUUAACCAUACAACGCCAAAGUGGUUU
rnacentral:rRNA from 1 species